rnacentral:rRNA from 1 species
CGACAAGCGGUGGAGUAUGUGGUUAAUUCGAUGCAACGCGAAGAACCUUACCUGGUCUUGACAUCCCGGAGACCCUUAGGAAACUAGGGGGUGCUUCCAUCUGGAAGAAUCUGGAGACAGGUGCUGCAUGGCUGUCGUCAGCUCGUGUCGUGAGAUGUUGGGUUAAGUCCCGCAACGAGCGCAACCCUUGCCUUUAGUUGCCAGCAGUUCGGCUGGGCACUCUAAAGGGACUGCCGGUGUUAAACCGGAGGAAGGUGGGGAUGACGUCAAGUCCUCAUGGCCUUUAUGACCAGGGCUACACACGUACUACAAUGGCCGAUACAAAGGGCAGCGACACUGCGAGGUGAAGCCAAUCCCGUAAAAUCGGUCUCAGUCCGGAUUGGAGUCUGCAACUCGACUCCACGAAGUUGGAAUCGCUAGUAAUCGUGGAUCAGCAUGCCACGGUGAAUACGUUCCCGGGCCUU